GACGGAGGAUGCAAGUGUUAUCCGGAAUCACUGGGCGUAAAGCGUCUGUAGGUGGUUCGAAAAGUCCACUGUUAAAAAUUGAGGCUUAACUUCAAAGAUGCCGUGGAAACUUUCAAACUAGAGUAUGGUAGGGGUAGAGGGAAUUUCCAGUGGAGCGGUGAAAUGCGUAGAUAUUGGAAAGACCACCGAUGGCGAAGGCACUCUACUGGGCCACUACUGACACUGAGAGACGAAAGCUAGGGGAGCAAAUGGGG
rnacentral:rRNA from 1 species